AGGAAGCCGUUUUAGCAGAAGACGAGUUGACGAAUGGAAGUGGCACCACGCUUUUCAAGCAUUCAGAAAUGGCAUCGCCUAGAACAAGGUUUCAAGUAUUUGUCAGGGCGAAACUUCAAUCGAACCAUAAGCGAAUACCACGUGGUGAGCCCACGACAGAAAUAUGGUGAAGCAGUUGUGUGAAAUUUCGAGUGGACAUUAAACAUGAUGCAAGCUUAACUUAAACAUAUGUGAUGGAUUCCCAAUGCAUUUCUGGCUUUCAUGGCCUGGUGAAGUGAGGGUGCGUGGCAAAUGGGAGAGCUGGUCCAUUUGGUAGCUUUUGCUUUCUCGUUUCUGGUGAUGCGGAUUGGUUUCGUGUUUCGAGGAAUUGAAUCCUUGGAUUGAGGUAGUUUUGGUGAAUCUGGACAGCUGUACGGUCUCGAUGUGAUUUGGUGAUUUAGCUGUUAAGUUACUCCGUCAAACCAUCUAAUUGUCCGCUGUUUUGGUCUGGAGUAAUUCAACCACUAGGCAUAAGAAGACAAACAUGAGACAGCACUUAUAUGGAUGUAAAGAAACGCGCAAAACUCCGUCAUGCACUACAGGAGAGGGAGAUGGGAUACAAGUUUUAUUGUCAAUAGGUCCAAGAUUUGACAGAAAAAAUAUUAUCUGUCCAGCGGUUUGCAGCCUCCAGUGAAACCUACAAAUGCAAAGUUCUAUGAAAAUCAAUGAAGCAGUUGACUGAAAUAUUAUGGGGGAUAACCUGUGAUUCUGAUUUUAACUUUUCAAGUUCAUCAGGAUCAAGCUCCUGAAACUCCUUAAGGCUUAAUUUUAAUGCAGUGUUUUUUUCUUGUACUUUCUUUAACUCAACUUGUAAUUUUUCUCUCUUUUCCUCAUCCUGCUGUCCAGUCUACAUUGCAAAUGACAAAUAACAAGGGUAUUAGUGUUGCUCAACAAAUACACACAAAUCAUUUUACCUUUUUUUUAGCUAAUUUUGUUUCCAGAUCAGCUCUCAAUGUUUUCACUUCUUGACUUGAGUUUUCUAAUUGCAUUAGUUUUUGUUUUUUCAGGUUGAUUGCUUUACUGGGCAAAGCCCAAAAGUAGACAGAUGUUCCAAUUU